rnacentral:rRNA from 1 species
AAGCCCACUCUAGCCCAACCCCCUAGCCAAUAAAGACCAAUCCCCUUCUUCUCACUAGACUAAAACAUUCUACCCAAACCUAGUAUAGGCGAUAGAAAAGUUGUUUAUCGGGCGCAAUAGAGACUAAGUACCGCAAGGGAAAGCUGAAAUAGUAAUGCCAAACUAAGCACCACACAGCAAAGACCAACCCUUGUACCUUUUGCAUCAUGAUUUAGCAAGAAUAAGCCAAGCAAAACGUCAAUUUAAGCUUGUCAUCCCGAAACCCAAGCGAGCUACUCACGAGCAGCUAUUUUUGAGCAAACCCGUCUCUGUUGCAAAAGAGUGGGAAGACUCGUUAGUAGGGGUGAAAAGCCAACCGAGCUGGGUGAUAGCUGGUUGCCUAUGAAACGAAUCUUAGUUCUACCUAAAUUUACCUCCAAGGAACUAACUUUAACCCCCAUGAAGAAAAUCUAAGGUAAUUUAAAGGAGGUACAGCUCCUUUAAAAAAGAACACACUCUUCCCCAGCGGAUAAGUCCCAUUUAAUUCAACUGUGGGCCCUAAAGCAGCCACCACCUAAAAAUGCGUCAUAGCUUCGCACAAAAAAAUCCAAAAACCCCACGACUCCCUCCCCCCUAAUAGGCUAACUUAUUAAAUAUAAGAGCAUUAAUGCUAAAAUGAGUAACUCGGGCUCUUCUCCCCUCUACGGCGCAAGCUUACAUCUUCAACAUUAUUAACAGACCACAAGAUACCCACAACUACCAAACAAGACCAGGUAUCACACAAACCCUGUUAACCCACCCAUGGAGCGCCUUCAAAGAAGAUUAAAAUCUGUAAAAGGAACUCGGCAAAUCCAAGGCCCGACUGUUUACCAAAAACAUAGCCUUCAGCUAUUCAAGUAUUGAAGGUGAAGCCUGCCCAGUGACAUCACGUUUAACGGCCGCGGUAUCCUAACCGUGCGAAGGUAGCGCAAUCAAUUGUCCCAUAAAUCGAGACUUGUAUGAAUGGCUAAACGAGGUCUUAGCUGUCUCUUUCAGAUAAUCAGUGAAAUUGAUCUUCCCGUGCAAAAGCAGGAAUAUCCCCAUAAGACAAGAAGACCCUGUGGAACUUCAAAAUCAGCAGCCACUUCCCCACACCACUCCACCCAUCGGGCAUAUAACUCCGGAACACCACUGGCCUGCAUUUUUCGGUUGGGGCGACCUUGGAGAAAAACAAACCCUCCAAACAUCAGAACAUCCUUCUUAACCAAGAACAACACAUCAACGUGCUAAUAGUAACCAGACCCAAUAUAGUUGAUCAAUGGACCUAGCUACCCCAGGGAUAACAGCGCAAUCUCCCUCAAGAGCCCCCAUCGACAGGGAGGUUUACGACCUCGAUGUUGGAUCAGGACAUCCUAGUGGUGCAGCCGCUACUAAGGGUUCGUUUGUUCAACGAUUAAUAGUCCUACGUGAUCUGAGUUCAGACCGGAGUAAUCCAGGUCGGUUUCUAUCUAUGAUAAACUCUCUCCAGUACGAAAGGACAGAUAGAGUAAAGCCCAUGCUAAAAGUAAGCUUUCAUCCUAAGUAAUGAACCCAUCUAAAUUACCAAAGAUUCAACCCCUUACCACCCACUUCCUAGAAAAGGACCG